rnacentral:rRNA from 1 species
AGUGAACGCUGGCGGUAGGCCUAACACAUGCAAGUCGAACGGCAGCACAGUAAGAGCUUGCUCUUACGGGUGGCGAGUGGCGGACGGGUGAGGAAUACAUCGGAAUCUACUUUUUCGUGGGGGAUAACGUAGGGAAACUUACGCUAAUACCGCAUACGACCUACGGGUGAAAGCAGGGGAUCUUCGGACCUUGCGCGAUUGAAUUAGCCGAUGUCGGAUUAGUUAGUCGGCGGGGUAAAGGCCCACCAAGGCGACGAUCCGUAGCUGGUCUGAGAGGCUGAUCAGCCACACUGGAAGUGAGACACGGUCCAGACUCCUACGGGAGGCAGCAGUGGGGAAUAUUGGACAAUGGGCGCAAGCCUGAUCCAGCCAUACCGCGUGGGUGAAGAAGGCCUUCGGGUUGUAAAGCCGUUUUGUUGGGAAAGAAAAGCAGCAGGUUAAUACCCCGCUGUUCUGACGGUACCCAAAGAAUAAGCACCGGCUAACUUCGUG